UACGUAGGCAGCGAGCGUUGUUCGGAGUUACUGGGCGUAAAGGGUGUGUAGGCGGUUGUUUAAGUUUGGUGUGAAAUCUCCCGGCUCAACUGGGAGGGUGCGCCGAAUACUGAAUGACUAGAGUGCGGGAGAGGUGAGUGGAAUUCCUGGUGUAGCGGUGAAAUGCGUAGAUAUCAGGAGGAACACCAAUAGCGAAGGCAGCUCGCUGGGACGUUACUGACACUGAGGCGCGAAAGCGUGGGGAGCGAACAGG
rnacentral:rRNA from 1 species